rnacentral:lncRNA from 1 species
UCUCUUUCGAUACUGCUCUGCUUAGUUUGAAGAUGGUCACCCUCUCUACCUGUAGUUUUAUAUGGCUUUACUUAGAGGGAUUCUGUUUCCUCCUACUUUUCUAUGAAGGUUUCAAUCAGUGGCUUAGGGCCCAAACUGAUGAUGCCCCUAAAGCCCAGUGAAGACCCUAUCUCCAAAUCCAGUCUACUUCUGUGCUUGUGCAGAUACUGGACUUAUUGCCAUGCUAGAUGUUUGGAACAAACAUGAAGAAUUCAGAGGUUUCUGAAUGUCUCACAGCUGAUAUAUGCAACCACACCUGCAGCCUUCAAUCCAGCUUGCUGAGCUUUUAAAACAAGA